AUGAGAAAAAAAGGAGGCGAGGUAAAGUGCAAAGCACCAGGGAGAAGAUCUGCUGCCUGUUUAGAAAUUUCCAUUUUGCCUUCUUACACAAGGAUACCUUGUCCACUUUCUAUUGGGUUGGCCAAAAUGUUGGUUCAGGUUUUUCCAUUACAAUGUUGCAGAAAAACCCAAACGAACUUUUUGGUCAGCCCACAUAGCUCAUGAACCUGGUAGGUCCACGGAACAGGAUCACAUUCUUCAGACCUUUCUAGCAAAAGGAUGAGGGCCUCUUUGUAUUUACAAAGCACUGGAUUCUUACCAAGUUAAAUUAGCCUUAGCUAUUCCACAUAGAACGGUGGGGAAGGCAGCUGCUCUUUGAAGCUGAGUGGCACAUACCAAGUUGUGUGUAUUGUACAGGAGAAAGAAAAGGUGAACAUGUUAGUCGCUUAGUCAUGUCCGACUCUUUGUGACCGCAUGGACUGUAGCCCGCCAGGCUCCUCUGUCCAUGGAAUUCUCCAGGCAAGAAUACUGAAGUGGGUAGCCAUUCCCUUCUCCAGGGAAUCUUCUGACCCAAGGAUCAAACUCGAGUCUCCCACAUCGCAGGCAGAUUCUUUACGCCAUUAUACAGGAGAGAAGGAUUAAAAUCAGCCCUCAGGCAAAAAACAUGUAAGUCAAAAUUACUCUUGAAAAGUCCUCUAGGGUGGCCCCUUGGUGGAGAUCCUAACCAACUCUUAGCAAGGCCCAACUGGGUGGUGUUUCCCCCAUUGUAGGAGCACAGUGGUUGAAUAACAGAUUUUAUUUUUUUUUUUAAUUUCAAACAACUCAGCAUUUUCUUAUUUUUAAUAUUUUCUUAAUGAUUUUCAGAUGACUAUUUCAUCUCUUCAUCUUUCUCUUCAUGUGUAUUGUGAAGCAAGGCAUUAAGAUGUGAUGCCUGCUUUAUUUCCUGUCUAAGCAACCUCCUCACCCCAAAGGCAAACUGUGUUGACAACUGCUUGGCUGCUCUAAAAUCUGUGAGAGUAGAAUGGAUAGGGCCCCAGAGACAGGUCAUUUGUAAAGUGUUUUUGCUGUUUGUAAAAAUAAAACUGUUGUUUUUUUAAAAAAACCACAAACCUGUUUACAAAUAUAUAUUGGUGGAAUAUAUAUAAAUUCAUUUCCUAGUCCCAUUCUAGCCAAUAGCACAUAUGUUCUGAGCCUCUGGGCAAAAUUUCUGCGUGUUUGUCUUUCUGGGCCUGACACCAAGAAACCUACCUAUUUUAUACCUUCCAAUAUGUCCCUUUUCUCCCACUUGGGCCCUCAAUGGCUGGUAAGGUUUCUGCUUGUGUCUCCAACCAGAGAGAAUAUGGUGAGCUCUGGAGGGCUUUUUUCUAGGUCAAGGAUGUUAGACGGGCAGGGCCAAUAAGCUGCCACCACCCACUCUUACACCCACGGCAGACAUCACUAAUUGAUCAUAGCACUCUCUUGCUGAAUGUAGAUAUUGCUUUUGGAUAUUUCAGGAUAUAGUAUCUGGUCUCAAUUGAGCAGAACUGGCAAGUGAAUUAAUCUUGUUUGCCAUCCUUGAUGCAGCAAUUUUAACCUUCUCUGUCAUCCACUGCACUCCCUGCAGGAAGUGGAUUUUUAAAAAUUACAACCAUCUGUCCUUCACAGACAAUGCUUAGCUAUGUUAAACACUGGCCGAUUGUGCUUUUACCAUUGAAUACAUACAUGCUUUAAGGCAUGUGACUCAUCACAGUUUUACAUCCACUUAUGCAGAGUUACACCAUUUAUACCACCAGUCACAGGAUCACGUGUGAAAAAAAAAGAAAGCAUUUGUUGACUUUUUUAUUAACUACUGACCAGCAUAUGCACAAAGCCCUCUUGAAUCAUAUAGUUUAGAAACAAUAAGCAGCAUUUUUCUAUCUGGUGGAGUCAAUAUGAAUCUAUUUUUUUUUCCUGUCCUCUGAAUACAGUCUCCAACCAUUGCUUCCUUUAAAAGUCAGGCUUAUGGUUUCAGAGCAAGAUGAUGUAGAAUCAUUUUUUCCCUCCUUCUCAAUUCUAAAUCUGGCUUCCCUGGUAGCUCAGUUGGUAAAGAAUCCAUCUGCAAUGCAGGAGACCCUGGUUCGAUUCCUGGGUCGGGAAGA
ensembl:lncRNA